UGGGGAAUAUUGCACAAUGGGCGCAAGCCUGAUGCAGCAACGCCGCGUGAGGGAUGACGGCCUUCGGGUUGUAAACCUCUUUUAGCAGGGAAGAAGCGAAAGUGACGGUACCUGCAGAAAAAGCACCGGCUAACUACGUGCCAGCAGCCGCGGUAAUACGUAGGGUGCAAGCGUUGUCCGGAAUUAUUGGGCGUAAAGAGCUCGUAGGCGGUCUGUCGCGUCUGCUGUGAAAUCCCCGAGGCUCAACCUCGGGCCUGCAGUGGGUACGGGCAGACUAGAGUGCGGUAGGGGAGAAUGGAACUCCUGGUGUAGCGGUGGAAUGCGCAGAUAUCAGGAAGAACACCGAUGGCGAAGGCAGUUCUCUGGGCCGUAACUGACGCUGAGGAGCGAAAGCGUGGGGAGCGAACAGGAUUAGAUACCCUGGUAGUCCACGCCGUAAACGUUGGGCGCUAGAUGUGGGGACCAUUCCACGGUUUCCGUGUCGCAGCUAACGCAUUAAGCGCCCCGCCUGGGGAGUACGGCCGCAAGGCUAAAACUCAAAGGAAUUGACGGGGUCAUAGCUGUUUCCU
rnacentral:rRNA from 1 species